CUCCCAAGCCCAGGCUCUUCCCACUAAGCCAUGCUCCUUUUCUGUUACUGUUCAAAAGGCACAACCGGGGCACCUGCAAAGUGAUGAGGUCGGCGAGCAGAGAAACGAUGGCAUCCCCAAGCUAAAGCUCAGCUGCUCUUUAUGUCUGAAGAACUAGCAACCUGAGCGUGCCAAGUGAAUUUUUGGAGACAUUCCUACAGCGGGGGAAAAGUUCUGAUUCAAAUCGACAAGAAGCAAUCUGAACCUUUAGAAUGAAGGUGAUAUGAGCUGAUGUUGCUCUGGGCAACCAGUAUCAUGACCUGAAGAAUAUCUGGGCAAAGAAAGAGCAGACAGCACCAUCUAUUAGUAAAACCCAAUAAUUCCAAGGUAGGG